rnacentral:tRNA from 1 species
GGCACAGGUGGCGAUCCCGGGAUUCCGCCGCGUGCCCAGCGGCGAAGCCGGCGGGUUCGAGUUCCGCCUGUCGCGCC